GCCUGGGUGGCUCAGUCGGUUAAGCGUCUGACUUCAGCUCAGGUCGUGAUCUCAUGGUUCGUGGGUUCGAGCCCCGCGUCGGGCU
rnacentral:tRNA from 1 species